AACGAACGCUGGCGGCAGGCCUAACACAUGCAAGUCGAGCGAGGACUCCGGUCCUUUCGGCGGACGUGGGAGUACCGCCUGGGAACUUGCCCGUUGCUUCGCAACAGUCCUCGGAAACUGGGCGUAAUACAGGAUGAGCUCUUACGGGGUAAGAUCUAUCGGGGAAGGAUCGGCGCGGGUUGGAUUAGGUGGUUGGUGGGGUAAUGGCCUGUCAUGCCGACGAUGCAUGGCUGGUGGGAGAGGAUGAUCAGCCACACUUGGACUGAGACACGGACCAGUCCGGUACGGGAGGGAGCAGAGGGGAAUCUUAGGCAAUGAGGGAUAACGUAAUCUAGCCGUGCCGCGUAAGCGGUGAAGGCCUUAGGAUUGUGAAGCUCUUUCAGCUGAGAAGAUAGUGACGGUAACGGCAGAAGAAGCCCCGGCUAACUACGUG
rnacentral:rRNA from 1 species